CCAGGUUAACAGAGAGACACCAGAGGAAGCAUACAUAAGGAAUGUAAUGGAAAAACACUGUUUACACUAUACACACACACACAGGGCAGGAGAAAUGCAGGCAAGGGAGGUUCCAGCGGGGGACGCUCUUUCCCACGCCGAGAAGGAUAAAAGCGCCUGCACCGUCGCCUACACCAUCACACCACGAACCAGUUCCACGAUGCUUCGUUUCGUUUUGCUUGCUUUCCUCUUCGCUGCGGCGACGGCGCUCCCAGGUGGCUCCGUGCAGGUGCGGCG